AUGAAGAACUUGAAAGACGCGAAAACUAUGAUUUUUCCCUCAACUAAGAGGGGAGGUAAGGAACUGCCAUCUAGCUCUGCACUAGAUUCUCCUUCUGUUUUGAGUAAGCUUGCGACACCUAAACCUGCUACUGCUAUGAAUUCUGAUAUGUCGCAUGUUAUUGAUGAUGCCACUUCUGCAAUGCAUGAUACUUAUGAUGAAACUACUUUUGUUCGUGAUACCACUUUGCCAUUAGGUGAAUUUCUUGAUGAGCAACUUGCUAGGGCUAGGGAGAUAGAAAUUAUUGAGAAUGAAAUUAUUGAUGAUAGUGAUGAUGAAGGUUCUCCCAAUGAUUAUGAAUUACCUGUUGUUCCUGAGGGUUAUGUUAUGGAAGAGGAAGCUGCUAGAGCUAUCUUUGCCUGUAAAGAUAGAUAUGAUCUUAAAAAGUUAUUAGCUAAAUGGAAGCAGCAAUCUCUUAAUGCUAGAAUGAAACCUGACCCUGCUUUUGCUACUUCACCUAUCUGUGUUACUGAUAAGGAUUAUGAAUUCUUUGUUGAUCCUAAGAUAAUUACUUUGGUUGAAUCUGAUCCUUUUUAUGGCAAUGAAUCUGAAACUGUUGUGGCACAUCUUACCAAGUUGAAUGACAUAGCCACACUGUUUACUCAUGAUGAUAAAUCUCGCUAUUAUUAUAUCCUUAAGAUAUUUCCAUUCUCAUUAAAGGGUGAUGCUAAGACUUGGUAUAAUUCUCUUGCUCCUGGUUGUGUGCGUAGUCCCUAG
rnacentral:rRNA from 1 species